rnacentral:rRNA from 1 species
UACGAAGGGGGCUAGCGUUGUUCGGAUUUACUGGGCGUAAAGCGCACGUAGGCGGGUCUUUAAGUCAGGGGUGAAAUCCUGGAGCUCAACUCCAGAACUGCCUUUGAUACUGAAGAUCUUGAGUUCGGGAGAGGUGAGUGGAACUGCGAGUGUAGAGGUGAAAUUCGUAGAUAUUCGCAAGAACACCAGUGGCGAAGGCGGCUCACUGGCCCGAUACUGACGCUGAGGCACGAAAGCGUGGGAGCAAACAGGG